CAUGCAUAUGUAUAGAAAGUGGGAGCUGAGACGAGGAAGCGACGAGACGCAUUGACUUUGUUGAGAGAGAUCUGAUCUUUGCUGAGUUUGGUAGACUAAUCUUCGCC